rnacentral:rRNA from 1 species
AGAGUUUGAUCAUGGCUCAGGAUGAACGCUAGCGGCAGGCUUAAUACAUGCAAGGUCGAGGGGCAGCAGCUUUGUAGCAAUACAGGGGCUGGCGACCGGCAAACGGGUGCGGAACACGUACGCAACCUUCCUUUAACUGGAAGAUAGCCCACCGAAAGGUGGAUUAAUACUCCAUAACAUAUUGAAGAGGCAUCUCUUUGAUAUUAAAGCUCCGGCGGUUAAAGAUGGGCGUGCGUCUGAUUAGGUAGUUGGCGGGGUAACGGCCCACCAAGCCUUCGAUCAGUAGCUGAUGUGAGAGCAUGAUCAGCCACACGGGCACUGAGACACGGGCCCGACUCCUACGGGAGGCAGCAGUAAGGAAUAUUGGUCAAUGGACGCAAGUCUGAACCAGCCAUGCCGCGUGGAGGAUGAAGGCCCUCUGGGUUGUAAACUUCUUUUCUUUGGGACGAAACCCCUGUUUCUACGGGGACUGACGGUACCAGAGGAAUAAGCACCGGCUAACUCCGUG